AUAAAGCUCGAGAAGUAGAAAAGUCUUGUACUAAUAUAUCAUCUUCGGAUGAUGUUCAAUUAGCUGCUUUGAAUAAUUUGGAGCAAAUAUUGCCUUCAAAACGGCAAAUAAUAAAGAAGAAAUUUUAUGACGAUACAGAUGAUAAUAAGAUUAAACAUCCGAGCAAGAAAUAUAAAAGAAUUCCUACUCCUCCACAUAAUUACAAAGAACAAAACGAAAGUGACGUGU